UUUUAAAAAAUGGAAGCCUCUACAUGAAUUCUGUGGUCUUAUUAUGAAAUAGUUAAUAUAUUUAAUAGCUGAACACAGGAAUGGGACGUUCAUAGAAUAUGUUGACAGGACAAAAAGGUGAAACUGUUGGCAGAAAACCAAAGUCAAUAUCGGAGCCAAGCAAAUACUGCCUGCCUAGAGCCCCAUAGGGAAAGCUCAAAGACUGGCCAUUUUUAAGUGGCGAGAGACACCCUCACCUCCAGAACCACGAAGCAAUUGUGUUUUCAGGAUGAUUUCAUUCAGACAAGCAGCUUACUUCAUUUGCUUGUUUGCUACAGUUUCCUGUGCUUGCCACUGAAACAUUUAUAAAGGAAUUGAUAUGAGAGGAGUCAAUUUCAAUGUAUCUAAGGUGAGCAGUGUUGAAGAAUGCCAAGCAAGGUGCACCGAUAGCGUUCACUGCCCAUUUUUCACAUACACCACGCAAACCUUCUUCAGUGCAGGGCACCCGUGAGUAAAAUUCACAGUGUCUGUUCUCUCUCAUGGUGUUUUUAGGAUUUAAUUGUAUUCUUCAUAACCUUUUUUUUUUCCCAGCUGAAAACCGGACAGGGCUUUUAGAUCUAACCACCCUUCUUAUUUACUCAAUUUUGGCGUCAUUUCUCCUGAAAAGAGUAAUUUCCAUUUGGUCUGCAAAUUUCCAUUUGUGCUUGCAGAAUGAGGGUUCAGCAAAUAAUGCAGAAGAAUGGCUCCCACUGCAUCCUCACCUUAUCCCUCCCUCUGCAGAGGGGGGAUGUCUAUUUGAUGAAUAACACAGAACCCUAACCCAGUCACCACCAAGGUCUUGCUUUGUUUAUUUUCCACUGACCAUGGAUCAUUUUCAACUGGAAAUGGGCUUCUGCAGGUACCUGGAAGUUUAGGAAGCAAAGUAACCUCUGCUUUUCACAUUCAGGAACAACUGCCUACUAAAGUACAGUCCAUGAGGGACACCUACUAGUAUAAAGGUGCUGGCUAACGUGGAAUCUGGAUUCUCACUGAAGCCCUGUGCAGACUCAGAAAUUGGUAAUUGUAUGGCUCCUACUUCACUCUGUGAUUGUAGUAGGCUGAAAAAGAGCCCUCCAAAGACAUCCACAUCCUAAUACCUGGAAUCUGCUACCUUACAGGGCAAAAGAGGCUUUAUUAAAUAUGUGAUUACGUUAAAGACUUUGAGAUGGGAGAUUAUUCUGGAUUAUAUAGAUGGGCCCGAUGUAGUCACAAGCGUCCUUAUAAAAGAAAGAGAUACCAGAAGGGACAGAGUCAGAGAGAGAGAGAGAGAGAGAGAGAUUUGAAGAGGUUACACUUCUGGCUUUGAAGAUGGAGGAAGAGUCCAUAAGCCAAGGAAUGCAGGUGGCCUCUAGAAUCUGGAAAAGGUAAGGAGCCCUGUCGGCCUGUUGAUUAAAAAGCCCAGUAAGACCCAUUUCAGACUUCUCGACUGCUGAUCUCCAGAACUGUGAGA